UACGGAGGGGGCUAGCGUUGUUCGGAAUUACUGGGCGUAAAGCGCACGUAGGCGGCUUUGCAAGUCAGAGGUGAAAGCCCGGGGCUCAACCCCGGAAUAGCCUUUGAGACUGCAUCGCUAGAAUUGUGGAGAGGUAAGUGGAAUUCCGAGUGUAGAGGUGAAAUUCGUAGAUAUUCGGAAGAACAUCAGUGGCGAAGGCGGUCUGCUGGGCCGUUGCUGACGCUGAGGCGCGACAGCGUGGGGAGCAAACAGG
rnacentral:rRNA from 1 species